rnacentral:rRNA from 1 species
GGGGAAUUGGAGACGCGAGGCUUUCUGUGAAGCCGGCCUGUGAGGGAUCCGGUGGAGAGAUCACUAGUGAGAAUGAUGACAUGAGUAGCGACAAAGAGUGUGAGAGACACUCUCGCCGAAAGUCCAAGGGUUCCUGCUUAAAGCUAAUCUGAGCAGGGUAAGCCGACCCCUAAGGCGAGGCCGAAAGGCGUAGUCGAUGGGAACCAGGUUAAUAUUCCUGGGCCAGGAGGAUGUGACGGAUUGUGGCGGCGUGCGGGUCUUAUCGGAUUGACCCGUAUCCAAGACAGUUCCUGGAAAUAGCCCUCCGUGAGAUCGUACCCUAAACCGACACAGGUGGACUGGUAGAGAAUACCAAGGCGCUUGAGAGAACGAUGUUGAAGGAACUCGGCAAAAUACCUCCGUAAGUUCGCGAGAAGGAGGCCCGGUACAAGAGUGCCGGGGGCACAAACCAGGGGGUGGCGACUGUUUAUUAAAAACACAGGGCUCUGCGAAGUCGCAAGACGACGU